UAUGGAGGCUGUUGAGUCUGAAUGUUGGAUGUUGUGUAUCUCGUGUUCUCUGGGCUUUGUUGUCCUCAGUCUUUUUGCAGGAUCACAAAACAAAACCAGGAGGCGCGUAAAUGUUUCUUCUCCAUGAUGUUUCUUCAAAUGUUUCUUCUGGAUGAUGAUAAGACUGUGACACGGGAUGCCACCUUUGGUCUUGUGAUGAAGCAAAGCUCAGGAAGAAGUGUGAUUAAAUGGUACCCACAUGUGUGCUGCUGAGAAGGAUGUACAAGGGCACCUGCAGCCAAAUCCAAGCCUCAGAGCAGCGCGGCAGUUUGUGCUCACAGAUGGUGACGGUGUGGAGAGACGGUGGUGUUUCCUCAGAAGAACCAGCAGAGUCACUUGCUGACUGAUGUUCGUCUGCACUGCACAGAGGAAAUCAACUGACCGAGAUGGGCAGCAUAUCAGUCUUGGACUGUCUAACCUGCCGGAGCAGCACUGAAUGACCACCACACAUGAGCAUGUUCCUGCAACAUUCAGCAUCUGAUCCUUCAUCUGUGUGCUUCUGCUUUUGGUAAGUAGAGUUACCCAACUCCAGUAACUCUAAACACAUGCCAUCCAUUUCUAACGGCCUGGUUACUUCCUGUCAGUUACUUUAGAAACCAUGUGGUCACCUGACCUAACACUGUUUCUUCUUCUUCCCCUUAAUGUUCAAGUGUCACAUGUCAAACAGCUGGAGAGGAAACUACACCAGUGUACUGAGAUGUUUCACCAACACGUGCCAGAUGCUGUUCCUUCAUGGUGACAUCACCAGAGACAGCCCCACCCACCUCAGGACCUCGCCAUUGAUCAUGAUGAUUAUAAUGAUGACAGCGAGCGGAACUAAGACUGUAAAAAUCCACGACCAGAAUGUUUCUUUCUAAUUAUUAAUGAAUACUGAGAGCCUCGUUCUGUGUUUUGUCUGUUUUGGUUGUGUUUGUUUUACCUCAUUUGUUACUAACAAAGUUCACAAACUCACACAGUUUACAUUCUGUAUGUUUCCAUCUUUACCAGCCACACUCUAACUGCAUUUAAGAAAAUAAUCCUUAGAAAUCGUCGUUUUUCUCUUUUGUAAUUGAUGAUAAUUCAGUGAAUAUACUGUGCUGCUUCCUUUUAUUGCGUCACACAUUGCUUUAUGUUUUUCAGUGUCCAGUUAUUUUUUACUGCUGUUUGAAUUCUCUGUAUGUUUGACCCUGUAGACUGUUUGAUGGACUGCUUGUCUUCCUGUUUGUAAC
ensembl:lncRNA